AGACUUUCUCGAACGGCUUGUAAAUGGAGAGUUAUCUGAGCUUGACUCUUUGAAUUCAGGAGAUGAGGGGGAUGGGACCAGGAUUGAGAUAGGUGUUUCUGGGAUUUCCUGGUGAUGACCUCACUUCUGUUCCCUACCUAUGCUGUGAUAUCCUUAUCAAGUUCAUGUGCAUGUUCAGAACUGUACACAGACUCAAGCACCUGCAAACAUCCUGUUCCAGAUGUUUAGUUCAUACCUGAUUGAAUACUUUGUGUAAAAACUCAGCCUUAUCUUUCUUAAGAUUGUAUGACAUUUUACGCCCAUUGUGUCAUGGCGUCCAUUUGAAUGGACAUGAAAAAAUACUAUUAAAAACAUGAGUUAGCAAAAA